rnacentral:rRNA from 1 species
UACGUAGGUGGCGAGCGUUGUCCGGAUUUACUGGGCGUAAAGGGAGCGUAGGCGGACUUUUAAGUGAGAUGUGAAAUACUCGGGCUCAACUUGAGUGCUGCAUUUCAAACUGGAAGUCUAGAGUGCAGGAAAGGAGAAUGGAAUUCCUAGUGUAGCGGUGAAAUGCGUAGAGAUUAGGAAGAACACCAGUGGCGAAGGCGAUUCUCUGGACUGUAACUGACGCUGAGGCUCGAAAGCGUGGGGAGCAAACAGG